AGGAGAGCAGCGGGCGACGAUGAUGAUGAUGAUGACGAUGACAGGAGAAAGAGGGAGGCGGCUCCCGUGAAACCCGGCGACGAUGACGACAACGACAGGAGGAAGAGGAGUUGGUCGGCAGAGAGCGCCGAGGACCUCUCCGACUCCAGGGACCUCGACGACAGUGACGAAGCUGGUGCCAGGAAGAGGCGUGGAGCAGAAAAGCCCGAAAAGAAACACAAGCGGGCAGCGGCCUCUGACGAUUCGGAUUCAGACUCCGAUUCUGACGACAGCGACUAGGACGCCGCCAUGACGGACCAUGCUAUCACCACCACCACCACCACCUCAUCAUCCCAUGCCACGCCUACUGAAUCUCAUCAUAUGACGUCCCAGCAAACAACUGGUCACAAGGACUGAGAAGAAACAAUUCAUUAGAACUUGUUUACUAUUUUAUUGUACAGUAUUAUUGUUUAGUGUACAGCAUCAAUAAAACAGCACUUUCGCAAA